rnacentral:lncRNA from 1 species
UUAGAUAAAUUUUGCCUACUAUGAUGAAUAUAUUUGGAAUCAUGUGUUAGGCUAUAAAUUGUGAAAAACUUGCAUGUUAGGGUUGAUUUAUGCUUAUUCAUGUGAAACUUGAUAUUUUUUAGCACAAUAUUUAUGUUUUACAUCAUGAAAGAAUAAUAUGAUUCAAUAGUUAAAUAGGUUGAAAAAAAAUACAUAUAUAGUGGAUCUUAGAUGCUAAAUUCAAACAACUACUAUAUUAUACACUCUUAAGCCAAAUUUAAAAUAGUUUUGAAGUGAUUGAACUGUUGUAGUGAGACACUGAAAUAAACGUGGAUUCCAUCUGUGCUGAAUUUUGUGUGGAUUGUCUAAAGCUAAUAAGAUGAAAAUUAUGUAAAAAUUCUAAGUUAGGGGUCGAUUUUUGAAAAUGAGUGAGUUAGGGGUCGAUUUUUGAAAAUGAGUGUUUGAUAAAGAACAUUGCACUAAUCAGUGUAUAAAAAAGUAAAAGAAAAAGUGUCCCAUUGUGAAAUGUUUCUUCGUAGCCUUUAUAACUUGAGUGAAUAAGCCUGUAAGAGUAAAUUUGGCGCCCUAAAAUCGUCUGACUUGGAAGUCAUAAGCCAAAAGCUUGCCAUAUGGGUCAUUUAAAAAGUUUAAUGGAGAUAAAUUCGCACACAAGUUUUGAAAAUAUAACUAUAUAAAAAAGAAGAAAAAAUGAUAGUUACAUGUCUUGAUUAAGUCCCAAACACUUAUUUGAGAAUUAGACUUUUAUCAAGAAAUUAUUAGCCUAAUUGAUUCUCGGGGGUUGAAGCAAUAAAAAAAUAACAAAAAUCAUCAUUUAUUGAUAUGUCGAACUACAAUUAGUAAAAUCUAAUCAAACUAGAUAGUUUGAGGACUAAUAUAUAAAUUUAACUUUAGAUCACACAUUGGAAAGAGAGUUAAAUAAAUAAGUUUGGGGGUGUGAAUUUCACGAGAUGAGAAAUGAUAAAUUUGAUAUUGAGGGUCAAGAUUUGAAUCACAUUAUGAAUUUUCACACACGCGCGUCAAUUUUGCAUGGGAUAAAUAGAAAUUAAUCUUAGCAAUGUGAAUUUGAAGUAGCUCAUAGACUUAAUACAUAUAUUCCAAUCUUGAGACCGAAAUCAAAUUAUCUAACCAAUUUUUAAAUUUUUUUGUUUUGUUUAAGUUAGGUUAUAAAUUUGUUUGAGAAUAAACAAAUGUUCAAGUUUGAGGGCGUUUAUUAAGUGUAUUUUGUAUACUUAUCCANAAGUUAGGUUAUAAAUUUGUUUGAGAAUAAACAAAUGUUCAAGUUUGAGGGCGUUUAUUAAGUGUAUUUUGUAUACUUAUCCAGGCCAGUAAAUUAAAGUAUUUAUUAGUGAAUUGAAUGAGUUAUAUCUUAAUUAUGUUUUGAUAUUGUUUGCUAGGCUGAACUCAAUACAAAUUGGUGGAAUUGGAAAAAAAAAGGAUGAAAAAUGAGCAAAAACGAAAGAAAUUCAAAGUAUGGAGACCAAAAUGUAAAUAUUCAGUAGUUGAUUCGGACCAUAAAAUGAUGAUUAAAUAUCACAUAUGAUAAAUUGAAUGCAAUUUAGAGGUCAAAGGAGUGAAAUAGGAUUAAAGCAUUUGUACAAACCAAUUUCCAGCUAAAAAAGAUUUGCUUUGAAUUUUUAGCCUUAACUUGAGACCCAUUUUUUGAAUGGAAAACGUUUCAAUUGAAAAAAUUGUACUUCUAAUUGAAUUUUAGUUCACUGAGUUAUCUUCCCAACGCAGUUUGAAUUAUUUUAAUUGGACAUUGAAAGAGAAAGUUGUAAUCCAAAUACUAAAAGCUGUUUAGGAACAACGACGCCUGCGCGAAUCGCAGUUUCCUUUCGCAAUUAAAAUUUUUUUGGAACUCAAAUUGGACGCGAUUUUGAACUACUCUUUGACUCUUAUAAAUGGAAAACAUGGGUAAAAUAUUAAAAGAAGAACCUUAUCUUGUCAUUUCAUAGACAAUAAUUUUAUCAAAUUUAUCAAGAACAAGGGGCCAAUACUAUAUUUUGAGGGAGGAGAUCAAUUCCUAGCAAGGAAUCCAAACUCAAAUACAUCAAGAAAUUGAAGAAUUCAACUUAGGACUUGAAGAUCAACAUCUUUUGAAUUAUUUCAUAAUCUAUUUUUCUAUUAUUCUUCUUGUAAUUUAUAUAUUAAUAUUUUAGGCUAGAUCCGCUUUUGUAUUGGAUGAAGAUGAACUCUAUUUGUUAUUUAUUUCUAAUAAAAC